AAUUCUUUCUUCUGAGGAGGCAAGAACUGAGGUUGGUGCAGACCUGUAUGGAUUCACUGCCAGUAACUCGGACACCUUCCACCAGUAACAGGGCAUGUAGAGAAGCUGUGAAGGCGUUCCUCACCUGCCAUCGCGUGUCUGUGCAUCGGCUCCACACCUGGGCAUAAUUGAUGAACCGGAUUUGUCACAUUCAAUAGCCCCAGGAAAAGCUUUGUCCUGGAUGCCUGCAGGGCUCCAUGUCACAGGGAGGAGAGGAGCCAUUUCUACCCUGUCUCUCUGAUACUUCGGCAUCCAGGGUCUCACUGACCUUGGGGCCAAUUCCUGAGGAUAGUAAACAACUCACCCAGGAUGUGCCUUUCUUAUUCAAAGGAACUCAUCCAGCACCCG